UACGGAGGAUGCGAGCGUUAUCCGGAUUUAUUGGGUUUAAAGGGUGCGUAGGCGGCACGCCAAGUCAGCGGUGAAAUUUCCGGGCUCAACCCGGAUUGUGCCGUUGAAACUGGCGAGCUAGAGUGCACAAGAGGCAGGCGGAAUGCGUGGUGUAGCGGUGAAAUGCAUAGAUAUCACGCAGAACCCCGAUUGCGAAGGCAGCCUGCUAGGGUGCGACAGACGCUGAGGCACGAAAGCGUGGGUAUCGAACAGG
rnacentral:rRNA from 1 species